AUUGGACGCUGGCGGCAGGCUUAACACAUGCAAGUCGAACGGUAACAGGGUGCUUGCACCGCUGACGAGUGGCGAACGGGUGAGUAAUGCGUCGGAACGUGCCGAGUAGUGGGGGAUAACGCAGCGAAAGUUGUGCUAAUACCGCAUACGUACUGAGGUAGAAAGUGGGGGACCUUCGGGCCUCACGCUAUUCGAGCGGCCGACGUCUGAUUAGCUAGUAGGUGAGGUAAAGGCUCACCUAGGCGACGAUCAGUAGCGGGUCUGAGAGGAUGAUCCGCCACACUGGGACUGAGACACGGCCCAGACUCCUACGGGAGGCAGCAGUGGGGAAUUUUGGACAAUGGGCGAAAGCCUGAUCCAGCCAUGCCGCGUGUCUGAAGAAGGCCUUCGGGUUGUAAAGGACUUUUGUCAGGGAGGAAAUCCCUAGUGCUAAUAACACUGGGGGAUGACAGUACCUGAAGAAUAAGCACCGGCUAACUACGUGCCAGCCGCCGCGGUAA
rnacentral:rRNA from 1 species